rnacentral:rRNA from 1 species
UACGUAGGGGGCAAGCGUUGUCCGGAUUUAUUGGGCGUAAAGAGCGUGUAGGCGGCCAUGCAGGUCCGUUGUGAAAACUCGAGGCUCAACCUCGAGACGCCGGUGGAAACCGUGUGGCUAGAGUCCGGAAGAGGAGAGUGGAAUUCCUGGUGUAGCGGUGAAAUGCGCAGAUAUCAGGAAGAACACCCGUGGCGAAGGCGGCUCUCUGGGACGUGACUGACGCUGAGACGCGAAAGCGUGGGGAGCAAACAGG